rnacentral:rRNA from 1 species
AGCAGGUGGUUUAAUUUGAAGAACGGGAAGAACCUUACCAGGUCUUGACAUCUGACACCCCUAGAGAAGGGUCUUUCUUUCGGGAGCAGAGUGACAGGUGGGGCAUGGUUGUCUUCAGCUCGUGUCGUGAGAUGUUGGGUUAAGUCCCCCAACGAGGGCAACCCUUGUUUUUAUUUGCCAUCAUUAAGUUGGGCACUUUAAGGUGACUGCCGGUGACAAACCGGAGGAAGGGGGGGAGGAGGUCAAAUCAUCAUGCCCCUUAUGGCCUGGGUUACACCCGGUUCCAAUGGACGGUACAGAGAUGCAAGACCCCGAGGGGGAGCUAAUUUCAUAAAACCGUUUUCAGUUCGGAUUGUAGGAUGCAACUCGCCUCCAUGAAGCUGGAAUCGUUAGUAUUGCCGGAUCAGCAUGCCCCGGGGAAUAAUUCCGCCUUGUACCCCCCCCCCGUCCCCCGAGAGUUUGUAACCCCCA